GGGGGUUUUUGUUUGGAGAGUUUGAUCCUGGCUCAGGACGAACGCUGGCGGCGUGCUUAACACAUGCAAGUCGAACGGAAAGGCCCUUCGGGGUACUCGAGUGGAGAA
rnacentral:rRNA from 1 species